ensembl:snRNA U6 U6 spliceosomal RNA
GUGCUUAUUUUGGCAGUGCAUAUACUAAUACUGGAACAAUACAGAGAAGAUUAGCAUGGCCCCUGUGCAAGGGUGACAUGCAAAUUCCUGAAACUUUCCAUAAUUUU